GACGUAGGGGACGAGCGUUGUCCGGAAUCACUGGGCGUAAAGCGCACGUAGGCGGACUCUUAAGUCGGUGGUGAAAUCCUGGAGCUCAACUCCAGAACUGCCUUCGAUACUGAGAGUCUUGAGUCCGGGAGAGGUGAGUGGAACUGCGAGUGUAGAGGUGAAAUUCGUAGAUAUUCGCAAGAACACCAGUGGCGAAGGCGGCUCACUGGCCCGAUACUGACGCUGAGGCACGGAAAGCGUGGGGAGCAAACGGG
rnacentral:rRNA from 1 species